CAAAAUGUGGAAUACGUCAAGGGGUGGACAUGCACAUUGGUGGAGAGCAAGUCGAGACGCACACGGGGGCAGAGUUAGGCUCCGCCUCACCCCCUCCAGCUGAGGAGAAAGCUGUCGCAGAUCUCCGCAGUGGUCUCUACUCCUACAGACGAAGGGAGUUGACCUACACCAGGAGUGGAGACAAGGGAGACUCUGAUAACAGGGGAGGGGUGUUUCUGACCAUGCUGAGUUAACAGGCAGUACAGGGGUUUUAAUGACCUGGUAGUCAAUACCAGGGGUUUUAAUGACCUGGUAGUCAGUACCAGGGGACCAGGGGUUUUAAUGACCUGGUAGUCAAUACCAGGGGAGCAGGGGUUUUAAUGACCUGGUAGUCAAUACCAGGGGACCAGGGGUUUUAAUGACCUGGUAGUCAAUACCAGGGGAGCAUCGGUUUUAAUGACCUGGUAGUCCUCAGGGACAAAACAUUAGGAACACCUUCCUAAUAUUGAGUUCCAGCCCCUUCUGUCCUCAGAACAGCCUCAGUUGGUCGGGGAAUGGACUCUACAAGGUGUCAAAAGCAUUUCCACAGGGACGCUGGCCCAUGUUGACUCCAAUGCUUCUCACCGUUGUGGCAAGUUGGCUGGAUGUCCUUUGGGUGGUGGACCGUUCUUGAUACACACAGGAAACUGUUGAGAGUGGGGAAAAACCCAGCAGCGUUGCAGUUCUUGACACAAACCUGUGCGCCUGGCACCUACUACCAUACCCCGUUCAAAGGCACUUACAUAUUUUUGUCUUGUCCAUUUACCCUCUGAAUGGCACACAUACACAAUCCAUGUCUCAAUUGUCUCAAGGCUUAAAAAAAUCAUUUUUUAAAAAUGUCUCCUCCCCUUCAUCUACACUGAUUGAAGUGGAUUUAACAGGUGACAUCAAUAAGGGAUCAUAUCUUUCACCUGGAUUCACCUGGUCAGUCUAUGUCAUGGAAAGAGCAGGUGUUCUUAAUGUUUUGUACACUCUCUGUGACUUGUUUUUACUACUGAAACAGCUUUGUUGCUACAGCAUCUCUGACUGUGUCACAAAUGGCACCUUAUUCCCUAUAUAGUGAACCAGGACCCUAUGAGCCCUGGUCUAAAGUAGGGCACUAUAUAGGGAAUAGGGUGCCAUCUCUGGUCUAAAGUAGUGCACUAUAUAGGGAAUAGGGUGCCAGCCCUGGUCUAAAGUAGUGCCCUAUAUAGGGAAUAGGGUGCCAGCCCUGGUCUAAAGUAGUGCCCUAUAUAGGGAAUAGGGUGCCAGCCCUGGUCUAAAGUAGUGCACUAUAUAGGGAAUAGUGUGCAAUUCGGAACGCAGCCUCUGUGUCCUCCAGCAGUAAAC
rnacentral:lncRNA from 1 species